AACAAUUAGUUUUUCCAAUGACAUUAAAGAGGAUUUCUUAAUCUGUGUGAAAAAUAAAACAAAUCUAUAUUAUUGAGACGGAUGGAGUAGAUUUUUUGUUUAAAAAAUAAUGGGGAUCGAAACACGCCUCUUCAUUUCUCCAACAAAAAAGAUGUUUAUUGUAUUCAAUUCUUCUUCUUUGGGUCCGUUGAUCUUGCUUACUGUCUUCAAAGACAUUCCUCUUCCUCAAUUGCCAGCUGAAAUCGCAGCCUAAACAGUUCUUCCUUAGCCACCAACUGAAAUCACAAUUGAACACAAUUGUUCUUCCUUCUUUAUUUGUUCUUCAUCUUCGACACGCCUUCUGUUCUUCGUCUCCCACACACCAAAAUGGACCUCCUACACUUGUCCACGUGUCGAAGAAAUACCAAUGUCCAAUGCAUGUUAGACAUCGAUAGCAUGUCAAUGCUUCCCAGCAUAAGGUAACUGAAAUCAUAUGUGAGAAAAUCCCAUAUCAUACAAGUAUAAAGUCAAGUCCACCAUUCCUAAAAAAUACUGAAAACCCAAGGAUAGCUAACCAAGAGGGGGGUGAAUUGGUUGUAUAAACUUUUUCGAAAAUUAAUUUUAGAUUUAAACCAAUACAUAAGUAAAUGAAUCAAUUAAUCAAAUAACCACAAACACGAUAACAAGCAAAGAACAAUAUAAAGAUUUGAGUAAUAAACAAAUGUAAAAACUAUAAGUAAAAGGGAAUAGAAGCAAAACGAUAUGUUGUGGAGGUUCGAUCCAAUGCAAUGAUUUACGUCCCUGUUACCAAGCUCUCCAACACGAGCAAGGUCUUUUUCAUUAUAUUGAUUGACUUAUGGUGCAAUCCAACAUUCUACAAAGCUUUAGGUGACUCACAAACAAGGAGCACUAAUCUUUUACAACGUUGAGCUUUUCCGGACCUCAACAUGACCCACAUGAUUGAGCUUUACGGGACCUCAAUAUGACCCAUACGGUAACUUACAACAAGGAGCACCAAUCCUUACACAAUGUUGAGUUUUCUGAGACUUCAACACGACCCACUUUUUAUCAAAGUGAUUUUACAAUCAAAUCAUCUCUUGAUAAAUAAUACAAAACAAAUUAAGUACUAAGAGAGGCUAACACUUCAAUAAAUAGUAACAAAUGAUAGCUCAAGUGUUAGAUGAAAAAUUUUGAUGAAGAAAAUUAAGUUCAACCAAUCAAAGUAUUUUAAUGAGAAGAUGAAGAAGAAUUAAAUGCAAUAUAAAUUCAAAUAAUCUUCUCAAGAAAUAUCUCUAUUUUAAUGAAUGAUUAUAAUAAAUCAAGUACUAAGAGAGAAAUGAGAAACUUUGAUGAAUAUGAUAAUUUUACAAAUUUGAUUCAAUCAAUCAAAGUUUUCAAUAUGAAGAAGUUGAAAAGUUUGUGCAUUAUAAGUGCAAAGAACUUCUUCAAGAAUAUAUCUCUCUUUGAAAAUUGAUAUAAAUAAGUUGAACACAAACAAAUAUGAAAAACUUUGACGAAAGAAAUUAUUCAAGAAAUUUGAUUCAACAAUCAAAGUUUUUCAAUAUAAAGAAGUAGAAAGAUUUAUGCAAUGUAAGUGCAAAUACCUUCUUCAAGAAUAUACCACUCUUUUAAGAAUGAUAUAAAUAAGUUAAACACAAAGAAGGAUGAAAAACUUUGAUGAGAAUAAUGAUUAAUGAGUUUAAAUCAAUCAAAAUUUUUGAUAUGAGGAAACAAAUGAAAUGAAUGCAAAUGAAGGCUCAAAGAAUUCUUAAAACAAAAAUAUCUCACUUUGAUUCACUUGGAAAAAUCUUUAAGAAUGGAAAGAGUAAGGAUAUUUGUAGAGUUCAAAAACGAGAAAAAAAUCUGUAUUGGCGGAAGACUAGUCUGGUCGACUGCCAUUUGUUCGGAAGAUCAAUAUAGCCGUUUGUACAACAAAAAUCAGAAGUCAGAACGGUUAAAUUCUAGACCAUUAGAGGGUGCCCGGUCGACCGCCUCCUACGGCCGGUCACCUCUCUGGGCGGUUGACCGCCCAGGCAGCGCGAUGAUUUCACGUUUUGACCCCAUUUGUUCCGAUUUGAAAGUUUUGAAGUGCGUGGACCUUUGAAAAAUAUUUUUAACUAUUUUUUCAUGAUAAAAAUAUUUUUUAAAAGUCCAAAUAUCACUUUUAAAAGUCAUUUUUAUAUUUGAUCAAAACAUUGCAUUGGAAUGACUUUUAAUGCACAAAAAUUAUUUUCAAUGCAUAGAAGUAUUUUGAACUUAACCAUUCAUUGUCAAAUAUCAAAGUGUUAAUACCUUUACAUUUUGUCUAAAAAAUCAAGUCUU
rnacentral:lncRNA from 1 species